UGAAUGACUCUUGGCAAUGGAUAUCUUGGCUCUCGUUUCGAUGAAGAACGUAGCGAAAUGCGACACUUGGUGUGAAUUGCAGAAUCCCGUGAACCAUCGAGUCUUUGAAUGCAAGUUGCGCUCGAGGCCAUUAGGUCGAGGGCACGUCUGUUUGGGUGUCAUAC
rnacentral:rRNA from 1 species